AUUUUCUAACUCCUGCCCUCUACCUAUUUUCAACUUUAAAAGUCCAUUAAACAUUAAAGCCUAUUCAAUUGUCAGCAUUUGCAACAUAGUAGGGUUUAAAAGAAUAGUUUAAAACUAUGGUUAAAUAGCUUGUUUACAUCUUGUAUUAUAUGUAAUGACAUAAAAGAAAUCAUUCUAAGAAAAAUUUGUGAGUUGCAAAUAUAUACUGAAAUAUUAUUCUUGUUUAUCUUUUGACCAUCAUAGACACAGAUCACCUUAUCUGGGCAAAGAAAUGAGAAGAUGGCAGAUUAAAAACAUAAAGAGACAGCAAGACCAAGCCCUCCCCUUCCUCCUCAGCCUGCUCCUCAACAUGAAGAUGAUGAGGAUGAAGACCUUUAUGAUGAUCCAAUUCCACCUAAUGAAUAGUAUAUACCCAAAAGAAAGGAGAUCAGUAUAUUGAAGAGAGAGCUUCGAUGUUUGCUGCAGCACUACUCACAACAACCAAGAUUUGGAAGCAACCUAUGUGUCCAUAAACAGAUGAAUAAAGAAAAUAUGGCAGAUAUACACAAUGGAAUACUGUUCAGCCAUAAAAAGAAUAAGAUCCUGUCAUUUGCAACAACAUGGAUGGAACUGGAGGUCACUAUGUUAAUUAAAAUAAGCCAGGCACAUGAAGACAAGCUUUGCAUGUUCUCACUUAUUUGUGGGAGUUAAAAACGAACAUAAUUGAACUUAUGAAGAUAGAGGCUAGGAAGGGUAGUGCGAGAGUGAGGGGUGGGGAGAAGUGGAGAAGGGUUAAUGGGUACAAAAAAUAAUCAGAAAGAAUAAAUAAGACCUAGUAAUUACUAGCAUAACAGGCUUACUAUAGCUAAAAAUAAUUUCACUGUCCAUUUAAAAAAUACAUAAAAGAGUAUAAUAGGAUUAUUUGUAACACAAUGGAUAAAUACUUGAGAUGACUGAUACCCCAUUUAUCCUGAUGUGAUUAUUACACAUUGCAUGCCUGUAUCAAAAUAUCUCAUGUAACCCAUAAAUAUAUAUACCUUCUAUGUACCCA
rnacentral:lncRNA from 1 species